UGGUCACACAGCCAGUAAGUGGAAGAUCAGAAUUUGAACCUGGGUAUCUAACUCCAGGGUCCACACUGUAACCACUAUGUUUUGCUGCCUUUCUGUAGAAAGAAAGGGCAGAAACUAGAAUGACCAUGAGAGAAGAAUAUUUUAAGUUAGAGGUGCUACACACUGGGGUUUCAUGAGUUAAUGAGAAUACUAGAUGACGUGGGGCUUUGAAAGGCUAUUGUCACUUAAAAAAAUGCAUAGUAAAAGGAGAAGUGCCUUGGACCCAGAUUGUUUUGGUUUCAAUUCCCAUCCGACCACUUUGAAUGUCUCCCAUUGUUUUCGGGGGUGGGGUGGGUUAGUAUUCAAUAUUGAACUACUAACCUAUGUUCUUUUUCUCUUAGAAUCUCUGCUAUCAAGAGAAAAGUUGGCCCUGAGAUCCUUUCCACAGACAUUGCCCAGUGCCUCUCAUAGGGAUUCUGCCAAGCGAAAUUCCCACAUCAGUAUAUGAAUACCAUCUCCUCCUACUAUCAAACUUGUUUUUUUCUCAUCUGCUUCAAAGAUAGUCAUCCAAUUCAAUCCCAAAGCAGGAAAACAUAGGCCUUGCAUGGAAAUUCUUAAGAAAUGUCAAAGAGUCACUCCUGUUGGAAAGCUACAGACCUCUUCUUGGAACCGUGGCUGCCUGAUGGGUUCAACCACUAACCCUUCCAUGAGUCGAACAGAGGACUGGAGAUAUGGGAUUGGGAAGGAGAGUUCCACGUUUGCAGGGUAGAAUGAUGGAUUCAGCCCGAAUGGAGACAAUGAUCGUCGGCAACCUCCACACCUCCAUCAAAUUUCCUUUUGGGGAGAGAGAGACUUCCCCCACCAUUCCCUCUGGAGGAGGCUGGGGCCUAAGUAGGAGACUCAGGGAACAUGUUUCCAACAAGACCAAAAACAAGAAUUCUCACUAUGGUGGCUAGAAUCUCCAAUCAACACUCACCCAAUUAUUGUUAGAAGCUUGGAGAUCAUUGUAAGGGACCUUGGAUAUCACUUGGACCUGAGACCUGAAGAGGGGAGUCCUCCAGAAAAAUGAAAGAAAGACAUAUGGCUGCAGAGUGGGAUCACUGUUGUCUCAAACUCAUUGCAAUAUUUCUGCUCAUUAUUCAGUGGACUCUGCUGCUGAAGAUUAUCCUGACUUAGCAAGUUUCUUACUCUGCAAAGGAUACAAUACAUCUGGACUCUUUUUCAAAUAUUUCUGUCUGUGAUGUAAGAAAUCACUACCAAAGUGGUUUGAAAGUCUGGAAAAAAAGAAAAAGAAAAGGAAAAAAAAAAUUCUGAAGGGUGUUUUCCCUCGCUGGCAAGAGGUAUUUAUUCUACCUUUAACAGUCUUUAAGGAUGUAGUAAAAUAUUUCAGUGUUCAGGGUUGCUUAGACUGUUGAUUUUAUGGCAGUUUGUUUAGUUAGCUGUUUGUGUUUGUGUUACAUUUUUAAAUACAAAAAAAAAUGUGUAAGCACACUAUCAAUCCCAGAAGGAGUUGAUUUUGGAAUUGCUGAAAGGUUCAAAUGUUGUGGUAUUUAAAAUAGUGAAACACCAGAUUCUAGCAAUUGCACUGAUAAGUGCUAAAGAUUCAGCACAUUUUUUACCUAAAAACUGUAUUUGAUAAUUUUUUUUCUCUUAAGCCUCCAAAAUGCCAUUGUUCUAUCUGAUGUACAACUUAUACGGGAAUACUUCAACUAGUGAAUGCAGUAAUUUAUGUUACAGUGUUUUUGGGAGUGUGGGCCCAGGGUUUUCACCUUUUAGUGUCAUUUUAAAGCAGUAGUGAUGAGUUUACAGGAUUACUUGGAAAGGGUCUUGCACUCCUUUGUGUGUGUGGCAAACCUGGGCAGAACAUUCAAAUGCUGUGUUCUAAAUUUUCCUCCUCACUGAAUUGAGAGAAAUUUUGGAAGUGUGGAAGGCUCUUCUGAACUUUUAGGAUGAACAGAAUAACACUAUGACAAGUUAAAGUUUUUUGCAUCUGUUUGAGGUUGAUGGGAGCCUUCAGCAUUUGAAAGUAAACAUGCCUGCUGCCAGCCAGUGCUUUUCCAAGAUAGAAAGUGGUGCAAGAACAAUGCAGACAUGUCUAUAGUUUUAAAAAAUCAAGACUCGUUGCAUUAGGCUGAAAGUACUUCUAUGUUCAUUCUAGUGUUCUUUUGAAGAAGGAAACAAAUGUCAUUUGCAGAGAGACAAACCAGAGCAUCCAAUGGUGGCCUAAGUCAACCAAUACCGACAAAGUAAUAAUAAUAAAGCUGUGUAUUCAUUGAUUCAUUUAUACAUCUCAUGUUUCCUAGUCCUGCAAAGCCUCGUGAACUAUCCAAGCAUGUCACAUGCAUACCAUGACAUGAAUAUCAGAUGUUCCCAAGUCUACAACUAACUGAUGAGGAAUCUGUACCUAACCCUCAACCUGCCAUGGUCUUGCUCCUAAUCAUUUGGAAUUUUUGUCUUGCCAUAAUUGUUAUCUGCAUCUGUGAAAAUGGCACAUCAUAUUUUCAGAGGGCAGGCUGCUUGGUCUUCGAUUAUGUGACCUCUUAAUGUUGGCCAGACCAAAAGCCCCAUGUGAAUAUUCAUAUGUUUGACACAGAGUUUUGUAAGAACGUUUGGCAUGUGAAUGACACCUGGGCCAUUUGGCCAGUUUGGGCUUGAGGUAAAAUAUCUUGGUCUUCCAUUGAGAACUUUGGAGUGAUUUUACCACAGAAGAGUUGCCACCAUGCCUGGCUUUUCUUACGUGUCUUGCUCUUUA